rnacentral:pre_miRNA from 14 species
UAUCGGUCUUCCGAGUUGGGUCACGGCGCUUAGUCCUUCCGACAUAUGGCAAUGACUAGAACCUUGGCUCAGCUCGGGACUCCGA